UACGGGGGGGGCAAGCGUUGUUCGGAAUUACUGGGCGUAAAGGGCUCGUAGGUGGCCAACUAAGUCAGACGUGAAAUCCCUCGGCUUAACCGGGGAACUGCGUCUGAUACUGGAUGGCUUGAAUCCGGGAGAGGGAUGCAGAAUUCCAGGUGUAGCGGUGAAAUGCGUAGAUAUCUGGAGGAAUACCGGUGGCGAAGGCGGCAUCCUGGACCAUUACUGACGCUGAGGCACGAAAGCGUGGGGAGCAAACAGG
rnacentral:rRNA from 1 species